rnacentral:lncRNA from 1 species
GGUGGAGCGUGGGGCGAAGGCCUUGCUAGGCAUCCGGAGACUCCCACCGUCCCAGCGCAGGGGUGCCGCCGGGAGCUCGGCAGCUCAGCCUCAAUUCCCGGACCCCCGGCUUCCACCCACCCGAACACACAAAGGCUGCCCAGGCGUGCACGGGAGAACGCGCUCGCACCCACGGCGGUGCGCACACACACGCACAACUGCACAAAGACGUGCACACCCUCCCAUCCACACAAAUACACUCCUGACAGGCCCGCGCACAGCCGUGCAUCCGCACCUACACACUGGCGUGCGCACACGUCCCCCUCGGUGUGAGAGAGGGGCACGAACUCGGGUAGACCUCCGCCCCAACAGAGAGCUCUCGGCCUGGAGGCUUCCCACCGGCUCCCUGGGCUCUGCUGGGAGGCGCGCGCACACGCAGACACGCACACAGAGACAGGCACACGCGCGCACACCCGCACGGCUCCACGCCCCUGGCCGCUGCCCGGGAGCAGUGCUGCGC